rnacentral:rRNA from 1 species
CGGAGGGGGCAAGCGUUAUUCGGAUUUACUGGGCGUAAAGGGUGUGUAGGCCGUCGCGCAAGUCUGGUGUGAAAUCUUCACCACUCAACGGGAAGAGGUCACUGGAAACUGCGUGACUUGAGUUUGGUAAAGGCGAGCGGAAUUCCUGGUGUAGCGGUGGAAUGUGUAGAUAUCAGGAAGAACACCGGUGGCGAAGGCGGCUCGCUGGGCCAAUACUGACGCUGAAACACGAAAGCGUGGGGAGCAAACGGGAUUAGAUACCCCGGUAGUCCACGCCGUAAACGGUGCACACUAGGUGGUAGGGGGAUAUCCGACCCCCUCUGUGCCGACGUUAACACAUUAAGUGUGCCGCCGUGGGGAGUACGGCCGCAAGGUUG